rnacentral:rRNA from 1 species
UACAGAGGGUGCCAGCGUUGUUCGGAAUCACUGGGCGUAAAGCGCGUGUAGGCGGUUUCCUAAGUCAGGUGUGAAAUCCCCCAGCUUAACUGGGGAAGUGCGCCUGAAACUGGGAGGCUUGAGUAUCGGAGAGGGUAGGGGAAUUCCCGGUGUAGAGGUGAAAUUCGUAGAUAUCGGGAGGAACACCGGUGGCGAAGGCGCCUACCUGGACGGUAACUGACGCUGAGACGCGAAAGCGUGGGUAGCAAACAGG